rnacentral:rRNA from 1 species
UACGUAGGGUGCAAGCGUUAAUCGGAAUUACUGGGCGUAAAGCGUGCGCAGGCGGUUCUAUAAGACAGAUGUGAAAUCCCCCGGGCUCAACCUGGGAACUGCAUUUGUGACUGUAGAGCUGGAGUACGGCAGAGGGGGAUGGAAUUCCGCGUGUAGCAGUGAAAUGCGUAGAUAUGCGGAGGAACACCGAUGGCGAAGGCAAUCCCCUGGGCCUGUACUGACGCUCAUGCACGAAAGCGUGGGGAGCAAACAGG